AUUGAACGCUGGCGGCAUGCCUUACACAUGCAAGUCGAACGGCAGCGGACCUUCGGGUGCCGGCGAGUGGCGAACGGGUGAGUAAUGUAUCGGAACGAACCUUUCAGUGGGGGAUAACGUAGCGAAAGUUACGCUAAUACCGCAUAUUCUGUGAGCAGGAAAGCAGGGGAUCGCAAGACCUUGCGCUGAUUGAGCGGCCGAUAUCAGAUUAGCUAGUUGGUGAGGUAAAGGCUCACCAAGGCGACGAUCUGUAGCGGGUCUGAGAGGAUGAUCCGCCACACUGGAGCUGAGACACGGUCCAGACUCCUACGGGAGGCAGCAGUGGGGAAUUUUGGACAAUGGGGGCAACCCUGAUCCAGCCAUGCCGCGUGAGUGAAGAAGGCCUUCGGGUUGUAAAGCUCUUUCGUCCGGGAAGAAAUCGCAUCAGCUAAUACCUGGUGUGGAUGACGGUACCGGAAUAAGAAGCACCGGCUAACUACGUGCCAGCCGCCGCAGUAACAC
rnacentral:rRNA from 1 species